UACGGAGGGGGCUAGCGUUGUUCGGAAUUACUGGGCGUAAAGCGCACGUAGGCGGCUUUGUAAGUUAGAGGUGAAAGCCCGGGGCUCAACUCCGGAAUUGCCUUUAAGACUGCAUCGCUAGAAUUGUGGAGAGGUAAGUGGAAUUCCGAGUGUAGAGGUGAAAUUCGUAGAUAUUAGGAAGAACACCGGUGGCGAAGGCGGCCAUCUGGCUCGGUACUGACGCUCAGGCGCGAAAGCGUGGGGAGCAAACAGG
rnacentral:rRNA from 1 species